rnacentral:rRNA from 1 species
AAACAUAGCUUUCAGCAAAGGGCCGGGGGCCUGAAGUAUUGGAGGUGAUGCCUGCCCAAUGAUUGUAUCUAAACCCAAGUAAUAACAUAGGUUAAUUGGUUAAGGGCAAUUAAAUGGCCGCGGUAAAACUGACCGUGAUAAUGUAGCGCAAUCAAUAGCCAAUUAAUUGUUGGCAAGUAUGAAUGGCUUAACGAAUGCCCCACUGUCUCAAGAUAAAAACCAGUGAAAUUGAAUUCGUAGUGAAGAUGCUACGUACAAGUUGUUAGACGAGAAGACCCUAUUGAGCUUUACUGGGGACUUCCAUUGUUUUUUUUGAAUUAUAUUAGGUGGGAUUAAUCACUAUUUAAUUUUUUAAGAACUAAAAUUAUCUAGAUUAAAGAUGUAAGUUGGACAGUUUGGUUGGGGCGACCGCCUUCUAAACAGUAACGAAGGCGUACAUAAGGUAAUAUAUAAUAGAAUAAAGUAAAGGCCUGACAGCAAGGAGGACCUACUGAGCUGACACGGUAUCGUGGGUUAUAAUGAUCCGUUGGUUUAGGGUGGGAUAGCUAACGAGCAACGAAUAAAAGUUACCAUAGGGAUAACAGCGUAAUAUCGUUUGAGAGUUCAUAUCGAUGACGAUGUUUGCGACCUCGAUGUUGAAUUGUGGUUUCCUGGAGGUGCAGCAGCUUCCAAGGGUUGGACUGUUCGUCCAUUAAA